AAAAAAUUAGUUAAAUUAUAACAUUAGUAUGUCAAACUAAAAUUAUUGAACCUUCAAUAUUUUUUA
rnacentral:tRNA from 1 species